UGAGAGGUGGGAGCAGGUGGGACUCAGAGCUCAGAUUCCCAGAGUGGACGUUGAAGUCCCCAUUUAGGGGUGGAAGGCUUGGACCCACCUAGGAUGGAGCCUUAGCACAGAUGAGGACACAGCCAUUGAAAGCAUCGACUUAUUUGACUGUGUUAUCAAGACUGUUCUUAUGCUGUACUUGUUUCUCUUGGGCAUGCCAUUAGUGUGGUAUUCAUAAGCAGAAAUGUAAAAAAGAAAUGACAAGAAGUAUGUGUAGUAAAUCCACCUACUUUCCAGACUUAGUUCAAAGAUUAUGACCUAAGCAGAGGUCUGGUUAGUUUAGGCUUUGUGAACGUUUGUCCAAAUUAUAGUAGGUUUACUAGCUAAAAACCCUGGGUGAGUCUGAUGAAAAGUAUUUCUUUUUUUCCAUUGCUGUUUUUGUAACAUCCACAUCAAUCUAAAUUGCUGUUUAGAUAAGGUAACUCUACUUUACUGGCCAAGAGUGAGGAAUAAAAUCUGUUAAGUGGAUGCAACACACUUCCUUUCUGCCUAUUCAUUCAAAAGGCCCUAUAGUGAAAUGGCAAAGAGCCUUUAUUCAAAUGGUGGGUGCCAUGCUGUGGUAAUACAGAUGGAUUUUUCACAACAUGCAGAAGUGCUUAUAAAUAGAUACGUUUCAAUCAACAAGUAGCUUAUUCAGGCAUGUGCUCAAAUAUAGUAGCUGCAUUCAUUAGACAGACAUUUCCACUAAUCCCAAGACUAUACUAAUAAAAGAGUAAUCCCUUAUGGGCUAAAGGUGGUGCUGGUUUGCUUUUAACUCUUGGAGUCCUUCACACACCAAGGCCUAAUAAUAAUUGUAGCUGUAUUUGGUUUUCACCAAGUGAACUUAACCCAUUUAUGCCGGAGGUUGCAAUUUUUAAAAUUUUUGCAAUCAGAGCUUGGUGAUGACCUUGAGCAGUAGAAUAUAAAUAACUCUCACACGCUUAGCGUUCCGAUAAUGGAACACUAAGCAUAAAUGGGUUAAAAGCCGAGCUUAUCUUGGAAUUUUUCUAUUCUUAUUUUUUUAAAUUGCAGGAGCUUAGUGAAGAAAGAGGUGCUUUUUACUCUAGAUAUGUAGCUUUCAGCAAAGCCAAUUCAAAAAUCAGUUUGUGUGUGUGUAUGUUUUCUCGAUACUUUAUCAUAAAGCACUUGUCUCUUUCACCUUGGUUCAUAGAAGUGUUCGCUUGAGCAGAUUCUGUUUUGUUCUUUGAUGUUAGGAUAAAUAACAAUGGUCAGUUUUGAGAGCAUUUGCAAGCUCUCACUAUAGUGGUUUGCCUUUUUACGUGGACUUUUUCCCCUUCAAUAGCUCUUUACUCCUCCUAUGUUACUCAGAGCUAGCUGUAAUCCGUUUGCUUAGCACAACACCAAAAUCUUUCCCUUGCCAGUGGUGUCAAAUCUGCCUUCCUUUUUAUUAUUCUGACUUAUAAACUGCAGUGACCUCUGAGUCAACUUCGCCAUCUCUUGGCCCUGUGCCAACAUUGUGUUCUGUGAAAAGAGAGUCCUGCCAAGGGCUACGAGGCAGAAAACUGAUAUUAUUAAAGUGGUCUUCUGAACGCAACUCUCUGCAAGGUCCUAAGGGUUCUAAGUUGAAUAAGGCCCACUCCCUCCCUUCCAGGACUUUAGCUGAGGUUGGUUGGGGCAGAAGUCGGGCAAGACUCAUCGGAACGGAUUAACAGAGACAGAAUCCAGAGGCAACGGGGUGAAUUCCAAGUAUAGAAAAGACACACUUGGUCUGAGGGUAUGUUUCAGCUCAGGCAUGCUGCCAUCAGGACCACGUAAAGCUGGAUUUUUCUACGCUAGUCCAUUUGCACGAUCUGGACUCAGAAGAGAUUUAAGUUUCAAAUCUGGCUUUGUCAGUUAAUGCUUGUGGGAUCUCAACCACGUCACUGACUUCUCUGAGCAUGCUUCCAUAUUUCUACAAAGGAAACAAUAGGUGACUCUGCUGAGUUGAGCACUUGCGAGUACCAAGCAGUGAGGACCUGAGGCACAGAUGCUAACCAGCUUGCUGGAGAUCACACACUCAUGAGUGGCAGAGUGGGGCUUGGAACCGGGUAGCCUGGCUCUGGAGCCCUCACUCCAUCCACACACCAUGCUGGGACCCAGUCGAGUGACCAGCAGACCGGUUGUGUGGGUUAGGUGGAAUGGUGGAUAUAAACCACACAGCCCAGCUCCUGACCCAUGCUGGGCCCUCAUUCCUCCUGAAUUCCUUCUCAUUCCUGCCGCCUUCUGAAGAAGGUGCCUUGCUUCCCCUUCACCUUCUGCCGUGAUUGUAACUUUCCUGAGGCCUCCCCAGCCAUGCUGAACUCAUGAGGCAGGAAAGGAUAGAAGCCUUUCAGAGCCUGAGCCAAGUUCCUCCUCACAGAAGCACAGAGGACACUUACUCCAUCUCUGAAAAAGCUGCCCACACCCCACCUCCAUCCAGCCUUCCAAAAGCCACCACGAAUGACCCGUAGGAGGGGCAGAGUGUGCCACUUGCUACGGACCAGAACCUCUGGGGAGCGGGGAUCAUCUCUGUGUCUCUCUGCUUCAACUGCAUUUAAAAUGAACAUUCUUAAUGAUAAACCUUUCCGUGUGUAAAGAAGGGCGUGGAAAAAUGUAUGUACUGGAGACUCGGGUAAUGACUUUCUAAGUGUGGAAAAUUUUCCCCCAAAGUGUUUCCAAAUAUAGAAAAGUCACAUAAUAAAUGAUGAGGGCUCAUAAACCUUUCUGGCAGCAGUUGCAGGGGUCAGAACAAGGAAGAAGGAAUUCCCAGCUCCUAGGGCCUCGCAUCCCACACUGUCUUCUGGGCUACUGUGCAACCAAUGGUUCCGUAUCUGUACGUACCCAGGGGCUCCUUAGAUAAAUAAUUGAAGUGAAAUAUCAAAUGUGUUACUGGUUUUUUAAUGUCACUGAUAAAACCCCUAAAAUAGACUGCAUGUCUCCCAGCUCUUCUGAACCAGGAGUGUUUGGGAAGUUGAGAAUGUCACUGGUCACAUUGUUCCUUUCUCUUGUGUCUCUAAAGGGUUUUGUUGUUUUAGGUUUGUUAAUGGUUGUCAAACACAUGCCUCAGACAUUUUUAACCUCCUGGAAGCCUACUGGACUCAACACACUGAAAC
rnacentral:lncRNA from 1 species